rfam:Nematostella vectensis strain CH2 x CH6 NEMVEscaffold_8548_Cont54706, whole genome shotgun sequence.
GGGGGUAUAGCUCAGUGGUAGAGCAUUCAACUGCAGAUCGAGAGGUCACCAGUUCAAAACCCGGUUGCCCCCU